rnacentral:lncRNA from 1 species
CUGGAUGACCUGUACCCUUGACACUCUGCCCUUGUCCCCUCUGAAAAUCAUAACUUCAUCUACGGGACAGGCCUUUAUGUUUUGUGAUUGUUCCAAGUCCUCCAGAAGCUGGGGAAACCCAGGGGGAAGAGCUUACAGACUGCUUAGGGCUCUGAUUCGCUGGGCAUUGACAGAUUUUGAAGGGGGCGUGAGGUGGUCUGAGCUAGCACAAUGCUUCCAGAGGGUGUCUCCUUCCUCCUUCAGUCUGUUGUAUCAGCUUGAACAAUGGACAAAAGAGAAUAUGAAAUGGCUUAAAAGAAGAAUGGGGAAUCAAGAAAUUUGUGGCAAAGCCUUGGUUGCAGCUCUAGCUGUUUGUCUUAUUCUGCACACGUCAUACAGCUUGCCUGGGUCUCUCUUUCAUCAUCUUAGAAUAAAAAUUGAAGUCAUCCUUGGCAACAGCUAUUUUGGAAUGGAAAAAUCACAAGAAUGAGCCAG